rnacentral:rRNA from 1 species
GGACCCGCACAAGCGGUGGAUCAUGUGGUUUAAUUCGAAGAUACGCGAAGAACCUUACCGGCCCUUGACAUACCAAUCGCGGACUUAAGAGAUUAAGUCUUUCACUUCGGGUGGAUUGGAUACAGGUGCUGCAUGGCUGUCGUCAGCUCGUGUCGUGAGAUGUUGGGUUAAGUCCCGCAACGAGCGCAACCCUUACCUUCAAUUGCCAGCACAUUAUGGUGGGAACUUUGAAGGAACUGCCGGUGAUAAGCCGGAGGAAGGUGGGGAUGACGUCAAGUCCUCAUGGCCCUUACGGGCCGGGCUACACACGUGAUACAAUGGUAACUACAAAGGGCAGCGAAGGAGCGAUCUGGAGCAAAUCUCAAAAAGUUACCUCAGUUCGGAUUGCACUCUGCAACUCGAGUGCAUGAAGUUGGAAUCGCUAGUAAUCGU